CGCCGGCCGGCCGGCCCAUUCCCAGCGCGGGCAUCGCGCCCGACUCCAAGAUGGUGGUCAAUGGAGGCCACCGGAGACAGCCUAGCGGUAAACAUGUCCACAAGUCAAAGAAGGAAUCUAGCAAGUUGAUGUUGAGGUAUAUUCUCAAGACAAGACACAGUGACUCAUUUGCUUUUCUGGGCUGGCAGCCAGCAAACAUGUGCUCCUUCAUGGUCAGCAUGGUUAUUCUGAGACUCCACAAGCAGCUAGGAUCAUGAUGCAUGUUGGGUGCUUCCUGCAAAUUUGUAUGUGGUCUGACUUUAGUAGUUCUGCUGCUCCUAGAAUUUCCCCACCUUGAUCCAGACAACUCCAGAACAAAAAAGAAUGUAAGGAUUUUUUUAUUUUAAUCAGGAAGACAUUCUUUGCUCAUUUGCUUACAUUCUUUAUGUAUACAUGGAACUGUGUAGCAUCUUCUAUGUGUAACAUGUCUCUGCAAGUGUCUGCCUCCUUAAUAACCAUGUGGGUGCUGUGCAGAUUGUCCCUGCAAUGUGUUGUAGGUAACUUGUGCCAGUAACCUUCAGAGACUGGAGGCCUGAUUUCCCUCUUCUCCCCAGCUCCCUCAUCCACACCCAGUUCUUAUAGUCUUGCUUAGUGCAGUUGGGUACCUGGCUUGCUGGGUUUGCUAGAUCAUCUGAUGACAGAGGCUUUUGU
rnacentral:lncRNA from 1 species